AAAACCUCUUCCCAAACAAAGGGUAAGUGUUUGCAUGCUUCAAACUUCCACUCAUAUAAACGGUAACCAUCUGACAAUUAAGCAAGAAAAAAACUGAAAUUGGAGUAAAAGAAAAGGCUCUAAAAAUUUAUAUUACGUAAUUUCCAAGAAAAAUGCUAGUAAUCUAACUCCCAGUAUAAACAAUAAACCAUAUCAAAUUUCCAA
rnacentral:misc_RNA from 1 species